rnacentral:rRNA from 1 species
GCGAACGCUGGCGGCAGGCCUAACACAUGCAAGUCGAACGAACUCUUCGGAGUUAGUGGCGGACGGGUGAGUAACACGUGGGAACGUGCCUUUAGGUUCGGAAUAACUCAGGGCAACUUGUGCUAAUACCGAAUGUGCCCUUCGGGGGAAAGAUUUAUCGCCUUUAGAGCGGCCCGCGUCUGAUUAGCUAGUUGGUGAGGUAAAGGCUCACCAAGGCGACGAUCAGUAGCUGGUCUGAGAGGAUGAUCAGCCACAUUGGGACUGAGACACGGCCCAAACUCCUACGGGAGGCAGCAGUGGGGAAUCUUGCGCAAUGGGCGAAAGCCUGACGCAGCCAUGCCGCGUGAAUGAUGAAGGUCUUAGGAUUGUAAAAUUCUUUCACCGGGGACGAUAAUGACGGUACCCGGAGAAGAAGCCCCGGCUAACUUCGUG